rnacentral:sRNA from 1 species
CAUGGCCCUUUAUGUCCAGGGCUACACACGUGCUACAAUGGCGCGUACAGAGGGAAGCCAAGCCGCGAGGUGGAGCAGACCCCAGAAAGCGCGUCGUAGUUCGGAUUGCAGUCUGCAACUCGACUGCAUGAAGUCGGAAUCGCUAGUAAUCGCGGAUCAGCAUGCCGCGGUGAAUACGUUCCCGGGCCUUGUACACACCGCCCGUCACACCAUGGGAGUGGAUUGUACCAGAAGCCGUUAGCCUAACCUUCGGGAGGGCGAUGACCACGGUAUGGUUCAUGACUGGGGUGAAGUCGUAACAAGGUAGCCGUAGGGGAACCUGCGGCUGGAUCACCUCCUUUAAAGAAAUGGGUCCUAGACCCCACACACGCCACUCGGUAAAGAAUCGGGCCUAUAGCUCAGCUGGCUAGAGCACACGACUGAUAAUCGUGAGGUCAGUGGUUCGAGUCCACUUGGGCCCACCAAAUGGGGCUGUAGCUCAGCUGGGAGAGCACCUGCUUUGCAAGCAGGGGGUCACCGGUUCGAUCCCGGUCAGCUCCACCAAAGGGAAGAGGCCCGCGCGCAGCGGGUCGGACGCUGGGGUGGAGAAGUAGGCGGCAGUAGAUGAAAAAGAGUAAAUAGAGAUUCAGAGAGUAGUAGCAGUGGUAGAUCAUUUGAAUCGAUCAUUGUAAGGAGUCCGUAGUAGUGAGUUUCUGAAUAAAGAAGCUGAGUACUACCGAUUCGCAGUAUGGAAGCGGUAUUGUUCUUUGACAGUUGAGGAAGGGAAGGCCAUGUUUGUCAUCUUGCCGAUGGCAGACCUCCAGGUGGAUGCUUGGGGAUAUAUGGUCAAGUGAAUAAGG